rnacentral:tRNA from 1 species
GGAACUGUAGCUCAGUUCAUUAGAGUGUGGCACUAGCAACACCAGAGUUGUGGGUUUGAUUCCCACUGGGUUCA